CUUUUACACAGCAAACUGAUACGUGCCCCAACAUACAGAAAAGACUGAUUUCCGUAUAUAAUUGAAGUUAUUUAACAGUUUUUUUUAGGGGUGAGGAAGAGGCAAUUGUCCAACCAUAAAUCAUCUAUAUCCUUUUUUUUUUAUUAUUUUAUUUUUGGAAGCAAAUAUAAGAACAAUGAACUUAGUAAGAAACAAGCACAGAGUAAAUCACUUUAGGGCUGAGAUGUGGGGUUUCUGUAUAAUUUUUUGCAGAAGAAUGUAUCUUGCACUAAGAUAUUUAAGUCUAUAUACUUGCUCUCACAUAAGCAACACACAGAAACACAUAGGAAUCCUGCAACUUUUGCAAUAGCAAAUUGAUAAGCAUAGGGCAAGAAAAAAAAAUACUGUUUUAAUCCAGAAGAAACCUGCACCAAGUAGAACAUGCAAAAUCCUUUUCUAGACUGUUGCAGUAGUAGAUUUCCUUGUUGCAUAUGGACUUCAAAGAUGAAAUCUCUUCCUUACAGGAAAGGAAUUGGACAUUCCCUUUAAUUAUUCUAGAACACUGAAAGUAUUUUAAAAUAAAUUUAGAAGUAGCUGAAAUCCAUAAGCCAUGUUAUUUACAUAGAGAUAAAAUAUAGAUAUUACGUUCAUACAUAUAAACAUAGAUACAGUUUGCAACAUAUAGAAUCAAAGCUUAAUAACUUGACUUGAAAGCGUCUAUAGAACUUGUGUUUUGAAGGAACUUGCGCACGGUCUGAAACUGUGGUUUCUGCAGGAAGGAGCUUACGUUAAGAAUGUGGGCUGUAAUAUGAAGCUAUUUGUGCUGCAUCGUUAUGAAUCCAUUUUUAAAGGGUUUUCUGAAAUCUCAAGCUUUUUGCACAGGGGUACUUGACAGCCCAGCACUACAAAGAGACUGCUAAUGAUGAGCAUUUCAUGUCAGCAUUCGUUGUUACUGGUCAAGGAAACAUUGAUUUUUCAGAGACUGGACUAUCACAAACUCCUCAUCCAAGCAUUUUCCCUCUGUAGAAGAGUAUCUGAAUUCAAUCAAGACGACAAAAACAGGAGGAAAAAGGUUUGCGUGAUUAAGAAGGGUGGGAAGUUCUAGCCAUGUGGCAACAAGAUGACAUGCAGCAAGCCAGCAGCACAACCCCUGCCUUCCUGCUGACCUAACCUCAGUCUGAAGCCACACAGAGAGCACAUUUCUUCCAGGAUAUCGUUAUCCCUGGAGAUUUGCUAAGUUACUUCUGUUUUGCUCAUCACAAGGAAGCACUGUUGCCUCUUGCCCCUCCAUGGCCUGUAGAGGUAAAACCAUUAGGAGGUAAAACCAUUAUUUUGGUGUCCAUCAAUAUA